rnacentral:rRNA from 1 species
CAGCCGCCACGGUAAUACGAAGGGUGCAAGCGUUAAUCGGAAUUACUGGGCGUAAAGCGUGCGUAGGCGGUGAGUUAAGUCUGCUGUGAAAUCCCCGGGCUCAACCUGGGAAUGGCAGUGGAUACUGGCUCGCUAGAGUGUGUCAGAGGAUGGUGGAAUUCCCGGUGUAGCGGUGAAAUGCGUAGAGAUCGGGAGGAACAUCAGUGGCGAAGGCGGCCAUCUGGGACAACACUGACGCUGAGGCACGAAAGCGUGGGGAGCAAACAGGAUUAGAUACCCCGGUAGUCCCUGUCUCUUAUAC